rnacentral:rRNA from 1 species
CCUACGGGUGACAGCAGUGGGGAAUAUUGCGCAAUGGGCGAAAGCCUGACGCAGCGACGCCGCGUGAGGGAUGAAGGUCUUCGGAUCGUAAACCUCUGUUAGCAGGGAAGAACGGUCACUGUGCUAAUCAGUUGUGAAUUGACGGUACCUGCAAAGGAAGCACCGGCUAACUCCGUGCCAGCAGCCGCGGUAAUACGGAGGGCGCGAGCGUUAAUCGGAAUUACUGGGCGUAAAGCGUUCGUAGGCGGUAUGUCAAGUCAAGGGUUAAAUCCCCGCGCUCAACGUGGGCCCGGCCUUUGAAACUGGCAAACUGGAGGGUGAGAGAGGUAAGUGGAAUUCCAGGGGAA